AACGUAGGUUCCGAGCGUUAUCCGGAUUUACUGGGCGUAAAGCGCGUUCAGGCGGUUUGACAAGUCGGGCAUGAAAUCUCUCGGCUCAACCGGGAGAGGUUGUCCGAUACUUUCAGACUUGAGGGCAGUAGAGGGUGGUGGAAUUCCGGGUGUAGUGGUGAAAUGCGUAGAUAUCCGGAGGAACACCAGUGGCGAAAGCGGCCACCUGGACUGCACCUGACGCUGACACGCGAAAGCUAGGGGAGCGAACGGG
rnacentral:rRNA from 1 species